CUGGGCAGAGGGAUCCUCCUCAGAUCAUCCCUGGUUGUUUUGCAGGUCUGCUCUGAACACUAUGCUCUUCUCUCGGCACUACAGCCAGAUAGAAGAAAGGUCUCCCAGGAGACCUUCAGUUCAGCUGUGGAGAUGCCAAAGUGUGGGGUGCUGCAGCUGGACAUCCCCCAUGAGCUUUGGACUCUGAGCAAGAUGAAGAUGAAUUGCUCCCUACACCACCCUCUCUGCUGGAGAGGAUUUCUCUGUAAGGUGUCAGUGUGGUGGCCAUGCCAACGUUCAUUCACAGUGACAAUGGUGCUGCACCUCCUUCCUGCACAAAUCUGAGGGUAAAGAAUAGUUUUACUUACUAGGAGCUGAUGUGGACCUUGCAGAUAACUUCAGUCCAACGUGCAUUAAGACCAGGCUGAGGCUGCUGGGAACUGCAGUCUCAGGUGCAUGAAGACUGCCCAAGAAGACCUUCUGCCAGGACUGUGCCCUCUUGAUGGCACAGAGUUGCACACAGAAUCACAGAAUCAACCAGGUUGGAAGAGACCUGCAAGAUCAUCCAACCCAACCUAUCAGCUAUCAGUGCUGCCAGGUAAUGCCUGCCUUGAGAGAAGGGAUGACCUUAACCCUGCAAGAAGCUUUCAAUGCUAGUAUCAUGCAUCCCAUGGGAAAUGGGAAGUUUUGUUUGAGGAGGAGCUGUUUACCUGCAACAGCAGCAUGGAGUCUCUUCUGCUGUACUGGCUGGCCUGAUGAGAGCCACACUCACCACAGAGCCCCUCAGUAUUGCUCCUUAAAGAGUAUUAUUGAAUAAAAUGCUCUUCCUCUUUGUGAAGUAAAGGAAGCAGAGCCCUGCUGUGCCCUUCAAAGCACCCUGCAAACUGGUACCCAGGCUGCCACCAGUCUGGGAAGGUGGCCAUGGGUGGGAACCACUCAAAAAGCAAGCUUUGACUGUCAGCCUCCCAUGGCAGCGUCUGUAGGGGCUGUUGGACAGGAUUCAGGGUGGGUUUGUUGGGCUCAACACGUUUCCUUUUCGUUUCAACAAUAAGAGGAAAUAAAACUCACAUGUGCUGUAGCCCAGACCGAGUCCUCACUGAAGUCCAUGUUCAAACCAAAUAAAUCAAGCCUUUGAAUGGAUUUAGCUGGGAGGAAGCACGUAUCUGAUCCCCCAGCAAAACAGGGUGAAGAGAAGGCACAAACCCAAAGAGAGCAGCCCAGAUCCAGAGCUUUUCUGCCUCCAGCUGCCUGUCGCAGCCCGAAAGCUCCUCCAGCGUCAGUGUGUAUUCAAUUAGCCGACCUGUGGCAUCUGUAGCUCAUUACAUGCUCUAGCUGAACGCGCGGGGAGUCGGGUUGCGAGGAGGCAAAGGUCAGAGGAACCUCCAGCCUGCAUUUUGCCAUCAGUUGAUUGUUCAGAUAACAACCAACCCUCCAAAAGGCUGGGGGUCUUCGGGACCCUAUCACCGGAGCAAAAGAAAGCCAGAUCGGCAGUUCCUCUGGCUGCUUGCAGUGGAUCUGGAAGCCUGUAGCUGGUGAUUCUUACAGCCCGGGGCAGGGAUGCAGAGCUGGUACUUGGCCGUAGCCUCCUCCGCGUCUUGCUCGUU